rnacentral:rRNA from 1 species
GACGAACGCUGGCGGCGUGGAUUAGGCAUGCAAGUCGAACGGUAUCAUCCUUUCGGGGGUGAGAGAGUGGCGAACUGGUGAGUAACACGUAGGUUAUCUACCCUCAAGACGGGGACAACCCAGGGAAACUUGGGCUAAUACCGGAUGUGAGCAACUUUUAGUUGUUUGAAAGGUGGCGUAAGCUGUCGCUUGGGGAUGAGCCUGCGUCCUAUUAGUUAGUUGGUGAGGUAACGGCUCACCUAGGCAAUGAUAGGUAGGCGGCCUUAACGGGUGGUCGCCCACACUGGGAUUGAGAUACGGCCCAGACUCCUACGGGAGGCAGCAGUCGAGAAUAGUCUACAAUGGUCGGAAGACUGAUAGUGCGACGCCGCGUGAACGAUGAAUCCCUUCGGGGUGUAAAGUUCUUUUAUAUGUGAGCAGUGCUUCUUAUAUUAACAGUAUGGGGAGAGAGAUAUUAGCAUAUGAAUAAGCAACGGCUAACUCCGUGCCAGCAGCCGCGGUAAAC